CCUACGGGAGGCAGCAGUGAGGAAUAUUGGUCAAUGGCCGAGAGGCUGAACCAGCCAAGUCGCGUGAGGGAAGACGGCCCUACGGGUUGUAAACCUCUUUUGUCGGGGAGCAAAGAGAGUCACGUGUGACUCAUUGAGAGUACCCGAAGAAAAAGCAUCGGCUAACUCCGUGCCAGCAGCCGCGGUAAUACGGAGGAUGCGAGCGUUAUCCGGAUUGAUUGGGGUAAAAGGGUGCGCAGGCGGAGGUGCACGUCAGCGGUCAAAUUGCGGGGCUCAACCCCGUACUGCCGUUGAAACUGCAUCCCUUGAGUGCGCGAGAAGUAUGCGGAAUGCGUGGUGUCGCGGUGAACUGCAUAGAUAUCACGCAGAACUCCGGUUGCGAGGGCAGCAUACCGGCGCGCAACUGACGCUCAUGCACGAACGCGUGGGUCUCGAACAGGAUUCGCUACCCUGUAGUC
rnacentral:rRNA from 1 species